rnacentral:lncRNA from 1 species
UUUAUUUUUUAAACAAGAGUGUAGAAUUGCAAAUUUUCUAUUCUAUAAAAGGUAAUAGUAGUUCAAACAACAGUAUCUAAAGCAUGCUUAGGAGAGAAGAAAGGCAAAGUUGAUCUUACUGGGAGGUGUCUGCUACCAGUCCUCAAGUAUAAAGAGUACUGUGUAGUUGGUGUUUUAGGUAAGGAACGACUGGGCUAAUGGAAGGAAAGCUACAUAUGCACUGGUCUCCAGGGGUUAAGCCUCCCGGGGGUUAAUAGCUAUGUGUGCAUCUACACAUGGAGACUAGUAAGUGGCUAGGUUCCCCACCCCACCCAGAAUUUGGGAUUGAAUCCUCUGUCCACUUGUCCAAGUACCCUCCUGAUUUUGACCCUCCCACCCCCAAUUAGGUGUGUGUGGUGUGUUUGUGUGUAUGUCAACAUUUGUGAUCUUUUAAUCUUUUGUGUGUGUGUGUGUGUGUGUG